CAGCGUCAUCUCCCCCUCCCCCAGAAAAUGCACUGGCAAAAUGUGCACUCCAGAGAUGGAAAUGUUAUCACAGCACAGGCCUGCUUCUCACAUGAAGGUCAGCAGCUGAUGCUCCCCAUCCCUGGAGAAGGACAAUGAAUGAGGACACUGAGAGGAUAGAGAAGCUAGACCGAAGGGAAGCCAAAAGACACUGCCUAUGUAAUCCAAUGAAAUUAUCAUUAUCCCAGAAGGGAAAAAAAAGUGUUUUUCUCACUCAAAGUCCAAGAUGAUUUUCUAGCAAAACAUGAACUAACUCAAAACAUCUGGAUGAUAAGAGAGUUCCUAAUUGUUCUGAGUUUAACUCUGGAUCCAGGUCUGUACCCAAGGUAGUCCUGAGACAUCCAUUUGGAUUUGGAUCUGACCAUCAAUAAAUUGGAAAGUUCUUCCA